rnacentral:piRNA from 1 species
UCCUAGAUGUAAGACACAGUCCUCCCCAC